rnacentral:misc_RNA from 1 species
UAACAAGAAACAUAUCUAACAAAAUAAUUAAAAUAAAAAUUGAAAACAAAAUUGCUGUAUUGGUUUAAAAUGGCGUGAGAGUGAGAGAAACAACAAAAUAGAAGAAGAGAGGAGGAAAGAAAAGAAGAAAAAAAAAAAGAGGAUAAGUUAGCUAAUUUAUUGUUUUAGCUAAUCCAUUGUUUUCACUACUGUCUUUGAAUAGUAAAACACAUUUCAAAGAAUUCAAAUUAAUUAUCAUGAAUAGGGAAGAAGCAUCACCGUAGGGCAAUAAUUGGAUCAGUUUACUAAGUGAACACCUCGUAAAUAUGCUCAAUGAAAACUCAUCAUAUUCAUUGAUGAAAUUAAUGAACAAGUGUGAACAACUAUUUAAACAAAUUAAAAUUGAAAAUAGAAAGACUUGCCUGAUUAUGUUCAUUAACUAGCUUGUUAAUGGCUCAUUUAUAUUUUCUAGAAGUCCAUGAUUAAUUAAUUUUGGGCUAUUAAAAUUCCAUCUUAAAACAAUAUAAUUGAAACAAACAAAAAUUACUCAAUUGUAAUAGGUUGUGAGAUCUUCAACAUGAAAGGUCAUUUGUAAAAAAUAAAGGCAUUGGCAGGCUGCCCACCUCCUCCAUAAACGGGAUAAGCUUCCCACACAUUUUAAAUGUUUCAGGCCUCAGACCCUUCAGCAUAUAUAGGCCUGACAAAACUAUAUUGAAUGAUUAAUACCUUGAAUUAGAUGAACAAUAAGUUAAAAAUAUAAUGUAGCUCAGCUUGGGGUCUUAUGUCCACCUAGAUCAAACAUAUCUCAAAAGGCUAAACUAAAAUGAGAGAGCCAAGCUAAGUUUGAGUUUGGCUCUCAAAAACUUGGUCAAACCCAAACCGAGUUUGAACAUGGUUUCAAAUGGUACUAAUCCAAACACUCAGCUCAGAUCAGCUUGUUUAUACGCCUAGGAGUAAACUUUUAAGUAAAUGCUCCGUCCUUAAAAGCAGAAAAGGACUAAAUAAAAGAAAGUAAUGACCAUACAAGCGUUUUUCUUCAUCUAGUUGAUUU